rnacentral:tRNA from 1 species
GGGCCCGUAGAUCAGGGGUAGAUCGUCGCGUUUGCAACGCGAAGGCCACGGGUUCGAAUCCCGUCGGGUCCA